GAACCCAACUUAAGCCAUGCGACCCCGACCCUUUCUUCCUCUCUUCCCCGACUUCUCCUCUCCGCUUCCUCGUGUCUCUGCUCCAAGCGAUCGGCGACCAUUUUCUUCUUCUCGGCGUCGCAGGCACGGAUCGUUCUUGGAGGGUGGAGAAGGGAAACAUUUCUAGUCUCCGAGCUUCUUCCUUCUCCGACUACUUCUUCCUCUUCGGCUACGGCAAGCGGCAGCGACAAUCUUGUCGUUGCCGCCCUAAUUGCUUCCACCGGAGGAAAUUUAGCCCGCUACUGGUGAAAGGGGCAUUUAGGGCUCCGAGGGGAAAAGUCUCGGAUCAGAUCUUGGUCCUCCUCUUCUUUGCUGCUGAUCUAGGUCACGGUUGGAGAGGAAGGGGACAGUGAGAAAGAGGUAAGUAGGGUGGAAUCCAGCAGGGAGGUGUUGUCAGUGGGCUUUCUUGGGUUCCAGCAACAACUACCCUUUCCUGGCAGCAGCGAUCCUUGAUUGUGGAUCAUCAGAUGAGGGCUGUGAGGUGAGGUUGAGUGCUGUGGAUCUAGAGCUGAGGGGUUUUCGUGCGUCCAGCAGCAAACAAUACCAAAUUCAGCAGCAAUGGCGGCUAUGAAUUGAGGUUGAGACCGUCAGGAGAUUCCAGUCGCUAGUCCCUUGUCAUGACGGAUUCUGGAUUUUAGACUUUUUAGUUCCUUGUUAAGUUUUGCUAUACUGUGGACUGUGUGGUUGUAUUUGUGGCCUUUAUGUCGAGUAUUUGGGUUCGCUACUCUUGUUUUCCGCUGCAGUAUAUUCAUUACUUCGUGGAUUUCGUUUUCUUCGUUGUAGUGGAGUAGGUUUACAUAUAUCUACAAUGUUUUCUAUAU